CAGCCAGAGCUCCAGGUCUCGUCUUCAUUUCUGUGUCCUCUGUUCUUAGAGGCCCAGCCUGUGUGGCCCUGUGACCCGCAGAUAUUGGGAGAUACACGGCUAAGACUCCAGGACCCCCUGGAAGCCUAGAAAUGUGACUGUGCCUGACGUGUAGCCCUGUCUGGGGAGCUCUGCACGCGCAAUUCCGCAGUCUCUCCCAGAUUGUGCAAGAACCAUGGGAGGGGCGUCAGGCAUAGAGAUUUUAUGAGAAUGUUUUGGCAUCAAGGUUUUUCUUGGAAUUUUUGUGGGGUGAUGUGUCCUCAGCCACCCUUUAGUUUUUUUCCUGGUCCUGGGUUCCAGUACUGUCUGUGAAUAAACCAAGAUAUCAGUCAUGGC
rnacentral:sRNA from 1 species